rnacentral:rRNA from 1 species
GGCCGCGGGAAUUCGAUUCAGGCCUAACACAUGCAAGUCGAGCGGUAGAGAGAAGCUUGCUUCUCUUGAGAGCGGCGGACGGGUGAGUAAUGCCUAGGAAUCUGCCUGGUAGUGGGGGAUAACGUUCGGAAACGGACGCUAAUACCGCAUACGUCCUACGGGAGAAAGCAGGGGACCUUCGGGCCUUGCGCUAUCAGAUGAGCCUAGGUCGGAUUAGCUAGUUGGUGAGGUAAUGGCUCACCAAGGCUACGAUCCGUAACUGGUCUGAGAGGAUGAUCAGUCACACUGGAACUGAGACACGGUCCAGACUCCUACGGGAGGCAGCAGUGGGGAAUAUUGGACAAUGGGCGAAAGCCUGAUCCAGCCAUGCCGCGUGUGUGAAGAAGGUCUUCGGA